UCUGAGAGAUGGAAGAAGAAGUUUGUGGAAUGAUGAAUGUGUGAAGAUUUUGAGGCUCUACCCUUCUUCCUUCAAAGUCUGCAAGCGAGACAAUGAUGAAGACUGAUAGUGCUUUUUUUUUGGUGUCCAUUGUAGGUGGGUGAAGCUGACUAUUUAUAGGAGCAAUCAUUGGGUGAUCAUUAGGAAUCUUUAGAUGUGGGACUCAGCAUUAUAGCUUGCAAGUUUCUAGAAUCUGUUAGAUUAUAGUAUGAAGACUUAGAGAUGAAGAUCAUGGUGAAGCUGCCGAUUGAAGAGCAUAUUUUGAAGGUUCAAGAACUUUUCUGAGGAAUCGAUUAUUGGUGAUUGAAGUUAUGGUUUGUGAAGAGAAGACGAAGCUUGGAAGAUGGAGAGAAAUGGGGAAUUGGAAGUGAAGAUGAUUAUGGAGAGACCUGGUAAUGAUGAACGAAGCUGAGUUAUAUAGGGUCACGUUAAGGCUGCCGGAGAUUAGGAGUAUAAGUCCAAGAUCAAGUGCAGCAGCCUGGGCAGCAUGGAGGAGUUAUUGGCAAAGCUGGAAGUUGUUCACAGCAAAAGGUCUGGCUCACGUAUUCUGCUGCAGCAGAUGGACACAUUGAAGCUGCCCGGUUUGACAAGUCAUUUGCAAUGUUGACAGCAUGGGGCUUGAAGGAUAAACCUGAUGAUGAUUCAGUUUUUUUUUGUUGUAAUGAGUUCUGUUUGAUUGUAGCGUUGUAUGUGAUUGAUUCUUGGGCUGCUGUAAUGUGCGAUGGGAUUAUGGUUUUGGAAAAUAUUGAAAUGUGAAGAUGGAAUUAAGUAUGCCUUGUGAAUGAACAAUGUGGACUUAGUGUAAUAUUUUUGGUUAUGAUUUUGAAUGG